GGGGAGUGGCUGAAUGGUGAGGUGGAGGCGGGGUGAGUGGAAUACUGAGGGGCAGCAGGUGAGGAGAGAAGAAGACUGACACAAAUAAGCCAAAACAAUCAGUUGCAUGAAGAGAUCCUCAUCAGUGGCUCUCACACAUCAAACAGCCUCAGAGGAAGGACCGAGUGGCACUGUUGGGGAGGAAGGGAGUUCAAAGCCAUAUUAACUUAUGUGUCACCUUUGAACCCCUGGACCCUGAGAGGAAGUGGAGAUGAAUUAAAGCAAUGUGCUUUCAAUCAGCCCAUCAGCACAGGAAGCCCCUCCUGCUCCAGCUCCAUAAUCACUUUUAUUUCAUUUCCUUUAAUUAAUCUUCCUCUAUAAAUCCUAAGCACCAGGUCAUAUGACGGGACAGCGGGGAGCAUAUUCUUUGCUGGAUGAUGAAUGGCCCCACGUCUGCUUUUAACCUGGUGGUGUUGUGUAUAUAUACACUGUCGUCAGUGUGUGGAGUGCACGUGUACAAGCAGCGUGGAGAAAUACGGACAGCACAGGAGAAAGAGAGCAUGAAGAAAGAGAACAAGUUGGAGUUGAGAAGGAGAAGGAGAGCAUUAAAGCCCUGCAGGAAAAUGCAGUUAAAUGCUGCAAAAUUACAGAUAUGUUCACAAGCAAGGAACAUGGAUAAGAGUGUACAGCCAUCAAGUGGCAACCUCCGGGUCCGAAAAAUAAAGCCAAUGCAGAAAUGCCUUAAACCUGCAUUCUCCCUAAUGUCCAGCCGGGGGCAACUCCACUUGAUGCAAAAAUAAAU
rnacentral:lncRNA from 1 species